rnacentral:misc_RNA from 1 species
CCGAGUUUACAACUCCCAAACCCCUGUGAACAUACCUGUUGUUGCCUUCGGCGGAUCAGCCCUCGCUCUCGUACGGGACGGCCCGCCAGAGGACCCCUAAAACUCUGAUUUGAUCUAGGAUUUACUUCUGAGUGAUAUACCAUAAAUAAAUCA